rnacentral:rRNA from 1 species
AUUGAACGCUGGCGGCAUGCCUAACACAUGCAAGUCGCGCGGGCUGUAGCAAUACAGCUAGCGGCGGACGGGUGAGGAAUACAUAGGAAUUUGCCUCAGAGCGGGGGAUAGCCCAGGGAAACUUGGAGUAAUACCGCAUGAUGUCGAAAGACCAAAGCAGGGGACCGCAAGGCCUUGCACUCUGAGAGAAGCCUAUGUCUGAUUAGCUAGUUGGUGAGGUAAUGGCUCACCAAGGCGACGAUCAGUAACUGGUCUGAGAGGACGAUCAGUCACACCGGAACUGAGACACGGUCCGGACUCCUACGGGAGGCAGCAGUGGGGAAUAUUGGACAAUGGGCGCAAGCCUGAUCCAGCAAUGCCGCGUGUGUGAAGAAGGCCUUCGGGUUGUAAAGCACUUUAGGCAGGGAAGAAAAAGUUCAAGCUAAUAUCUUGAGCCUUGACGGUACCUGAAGAAUAAGCACCGGCUAACUCUGUGCCAGCCGCCGCGGUAAAAC